rnacentral:rRNA from 1 species
GAUGAACGCUGGCGGCGUGCUUAACACAUGCAAGUCGAACGAAGCACUUAUGACAGAUUCUUCGGAUGAUGGAUUAAGUGACUGAGUGGCGGACGGGUGAGUAACGCGUGGGUAACCUGCCUCAUACAGGGGGAUAACAGUUAGAAAUGACUGCUAAUACCGCAUAAGCGCACAAUACCGCAUGGUAUGGUGUGAAAAACUCCGGUGGUAUGAGAUGGACCCGCGUCUGAUUAGCUAGUUGGUGGGGUAACGGCCUACCAAGGCGACGAUCAGUAGCCGGCCUGAGAGGGUGAACGGCCACAUUGGGACUGAGACACGGCCCAAACUCCUACGGGAGGCAGCAGUGGGGAAUAUUGCACAAUGGGGGAAACCCUGAUGCAGCGACGCCGCGUGAGUGAAGAAGUAUUUCGGUAUGUAAAGCUCUAUCAGCAGGGAAGAAAAUGACGGUACCUGACUAAGAAGCACCGGCUAAAUACGUGCCAGCCGCCGCCGUAAUAC